UUGUUCGAGGUACAAUUUCAUUAUUAGAAGCGCUGUGAUCUACUCUUUUUCCCACUCUCUCUUGUAGAAUUUCAUUCUCUAUUCUAUAAUUGGCUUAUGUUAUGUUCACAGAUGUUUUGUACAUUUUAUCAACCUCAGAUAGUGUUUCGUUGAAGUGUUUCAGCGAGUCGUUUUCUUUGAUAUUAGAGUGCCCUAUGACAUUUAGUGAGCUUCCGGUUUGUUGCCAACCUCUGGAUGACCCUGGUGUAUUGGUUGGUCUCACUGAUAAAACUCGAUGGCAACCAUUUGCUGCAUGGACAAUCAGACUUAUUAACAAGUGUCUAAUGGAAGGGACUCUCCAUGUGGAAGAGCUUAUUAAUGUUUCUUUUGCUUAUUCAGUUUGUUCUUCUUUACUGUGCUACCGGGAUGCAACUCUGCAUAUGGCUUGUUUUGACUUUGCACGAAUAACAACUGAGGUGAUCGAUGCAAAUAUUAUACCCGUUGAAAAUGUAAUUCGUUCAAUAGCAUGCAUACUGUGCCUUGAUGAAAGUAAGUCUAUGACAUUCAGAAACACAAUAUAUGAUUCUUGUAUGGGUGCUUGCCUCCAUCUGCUACAUUUUUCUUGUUCGGAUAAGAUUAUUGAAUCCACAGCUAAUGAGAUUAUUAAUGCUUUCCCUAGAUCCAUAUGUAGCAUAGAGAGCCGUGAACUUCAGUUGGCUAUGUGUAGUGCCUAUACAAGAAUUGCUAAAAGGUGCCAUCUGCAAAUUUGGGAACCUAGACUUCUUGUUAGGAUGCUAUGUUCAGAAAGACCUUGUUUACCCUUGAUUCAAUGCAUCCGAGCAGCAAUCACUAUACUAACUCCCAGUUAUGUUCUAGAAGGUGAAGUUGAUACUAGCACAUCUGUUGCUAAUUUAAAGUCAUCUGUGUUGCCGCAAAUCAGUAGCAAAAGGUCAAUGGAAAUCAACUCUACUGUUGAGUGCAAGCGUCAAAAGACUACAGAUUUUCUUGUGGAUAUUGAGGAGAAGAAAAAGUUUGCAAAUGAACUGAAGAGAUCAAUUUGUUUGUUUCUUGAAUCUGCAAAACCUGCAAGUUUGAAAGCUUCUACACUAAAACCAGAAACAAAUAUAACAGCUCUUAGUCUCCUGACUCUCCUCUGCCUUUCAUUUUCAGCUCACCCACAUUCCAGUUUAUCCUCUACCAUUUUCCAUAAAAAAUUUUCUUGGAUUCCUUGGAUAUGUAAGCAGGCAAAGGAUUCAAGCUUACUAGUAUCUGCUUUGCCAACCUAUUUACAAGCUGUUCACAACAUAUUGUGUCUUCAAGAUCUCGAGUCACGAGAAAAGUUGUUCCAAGACGAUGAAUUCUUGACUGAUGUUGAAAGAAGCAGCUAUAUAUUCCCAAAAUACGCAGAUUUUCUAGAGUUGUUGAAAUUGCCUUGGACUUGUAAUUCUAUUAUUCAGCAAGCUUGUGAAGUCAGUAAAAUUAAAUGUCUAUGUAUUCAAAUUUUCUCAAAGAUUGGUCCUAAACUAAAUGAUGAAAGUGAUUUAGAAGUUCUGGACUUGGCUAUUCAUGAUGAAGAUGAAGAAGUUUGCAUUGAAGCUGUCACAUCAAUGCCAGUCAUUGUAUUAUGCUCUGGCCAGAUAUUUUUUGAGAAAAUGCUCAGAAAACUUGAGAAAAACACAAACGGUGUCAAUUUCGAAAAUCUCCCACUUCGACUCAAUCUUCCAAGAUUGUAAGACAGAUCUCUCUUUCAAUUUUUGGCUCUCUCUUCGAUAUUUUUAGGGGUUUAGAAGGAUAUAAAGGUCACUUCAAUAUAUACUCUGAACUGGUGCCAGAGGCGUCUUGUAAUGCCUUUGGAGCCGAAGGCGUCGUGGGACGCUUCCGACGCCUAUAGAGGUGUCCCGCGACUCCUCCGACACCGCUGCGACGCUUCGCAGACAGGAUGCCUUCACUGCCGGUUUUGCCCGCCCGGCGGAAAAGUAAAAACUAUUCGUGUCGGAUGGCACGGAACGACAUUUCAUUCUACAGUGCAAUCUCUCUUAAGUGUUCUUUUUUAUAUAUAAAAGUUCAUGAUAUGCAUCUCUUAUAAUGUUUGUCCUUAGGUAGAUGAUAUAACUUCCACUCUAACUGACAUAUGGAAUAAUGAAGGUUCUCUGAUUUCUCUACUUCUCAUUUGGUCUAUUGCAUUGCUAAGUUUUAAAAGUUGAAUUAAACAUCAUAAGUUAUCUGUAAAUCUUGCAGGUGAAGCAACUGACAGGCCUAAAAAG